rnacentral:lncRNA from 13 species
AAAGCAACUACAUGAGAGCUCUGAAAAGUCAAUAAUAGCAAAGGAACUGAAAAGUCAGUCAAAACUUAAAGAACAACCAGUAUGGAGCUCUGUUGGAAGCCUUACCUACUCACAAAGCUGCACUGCUGUUGGAGCAACAUAAACACCUAAAAUUCUGAACAGCAACAACAGGAAAAUUCAAGAUCCUUUUUGGCCAGAGGAACCAAGAGGCCCUAUAUUCCAAAGGGGUAGGGGGCAGGGGGGAGUUCCUCCUACUUUUUUCUUGCUAUUUUUUCCUGAAGUUCAAAGUGAUACAAAACUACAGUUUGUUUCUUCUCUUACUGUUCAUCUAUUUUAAUGGAAGGCUUCAGCUUUUGUCUACUCAAAUGACACUAUCAGCUGCAUCACCCUGGACAAGUUCCUUAACUUCCUGUCAUUUUUAUAAUUUCCAAAGAAGACUGCAGAUUUCCAAGAACAUCACUUAAAACCUGCAAAUUGGGAGGAAGAUCCAAGAUAGCCAAAUAGGAACAGCUCUGGAGUGCAGUUCCCAGCAAGAACAACACAGAGGGUAAGUGAUCACUGCACUUCCAGACGAGUUUUCACUGCCCACAGAGUAGGAGAUUCCUGGGACAA